rnacentral:rRNA from 1 species
AGGAGCUUGCUCUUCUUGGAUGAGUUGCGAACGGGUGAGUAACGCGUAGGUAACCUGCCUUGUAGCGGGGGAUAACUACUGGAAACGGUAGCUAAUACCGCAUAACGUCGCAAGACCAAAGAGGGGGACCUUCGGGCCUCUUGCCAUCGGAUGUGCCCAGAUGGGAUUAGCUAGUAGGUGGGGUAAAGGCUCACCUAGGCGACGAUCCCUAGCUGGUCUGAGAGGAUGACCAGCCACACUGGAACUGAGACACGGUCCAGACUCCUACGGGAGGCAGCAGUGGGGAAUAUUGCACAAUGGGCGCAAGCCUGAUGCAGCCAUGCCGCGUGUAUGAAGAAGGCCUUCGGGUUGUAAAGUACUUUCAGCGGGGAGGAAGGGAGUAAAGUUAAUACCUUUGCUCAUUGACGUUACCCGCAGAAGAAGCACCGGCUAACUCCGUGCCAGCAGCCGCGGUAAUACGGAGGGUGCAAGCGUUAAUCGGAAUUACUGGGCGUAAAGCGCACGCAGGCGGUUUGUUAAGUCAGAUGUGAAAUCCCCGGGCUCAACCUGGGAACUGCAUCUGAUACUGGCAAGCUUGAGUCUCGUAGAGGGGGGUAGAAUUCCAGGUGUAGCGGUGAAAUGCGUAGAGAUCUGGAGGAAUACCGGUGGCGAAGG